rnacentral:lncRNA from 1 species
GCCGUGGUGGGCAGCGGGCGUCCUUCCCCCUGUCGGCCGAAGAGAAUAAAGCUUGUCUACACUGCCAUCAGCUCCGAGCAUCUUUUUUCAACUCCCUGAGCCCCGGUUCAGUCCUCAGGCAUUCCCCUCCUGAAUACACUUGGCGCGUAGUUCCAAGGUGAGUGGGCCUACGGCUCCUGAGGCUGACGGCAUGGACGUGUGGCCAUCCACUAGUAUGUGGUUCCCGGUGGUGGAGGUCCUGUUGAAUUGGCUCUGCGUACCCUGGGGGACCAGGUGCCAGAGAAGGCCUGCGCGGCCUGCCGUUGGGCGGGCGGCUUGGCUGUUUGACAGCCCUAUGCCACAACAUGGAUUCUACCCUGUGGGAUGUGGCCCAGAUACGGCAGCUGCGAGCCAAGGAGGAAGGCCUUGAGGCACAGGUGCAGCAGUUGGAACAGGAGAUGGAAAUGGCACCUCACAGCUAGACGGCGGAAGACCGGGACGUGGAGGAAGUACGCCCUCUCCAUGCUGGGCCAGUAAUCCAGCAAAAGAUGUGCACUGCUGGCAGGAGGGAGCUCAGGCACUCAGCCCUUCUAUUCUCUCUGGAUGUAAAGAAACAAGGAUCAGAGGAGGCAAACAGAAUAAACACAGCAUGUGGAUGGUACCUGAGCCAAUUUACUAGUGGAGGACUGCUGCAUUGCAAAUAUUCAAGGGGGAAAGAAUACAAAUGCCCAGGCAAAGUGGACCUCUUUAAAGACACAGGACCUGACUUUUGAGUUUAGACUGGAACCAUCACAGGAGGAGAGAGAAAAAAAGAUCCCUGUGCUUCACAUAAGAUCCACAUUCCCUAGAUUUCCCUACUGGAUUCUGUGUCAUAUCUUCACAGCUGCACUGAUCCCAGUGUCAUUCUGGAGAUCCAUUCCCUCAUCUCUCAGAUGAUAGUCAACCAAUCUCUGUUAAGGUGUUACUGGAUAAAAACUUCACACAAUGGGAGGCUGACCCCGUGGCCGAGUGGUUAGGUUCGCGCACUCCACUGCAGGCGGUCCAGUGUUUCGUUGGUUCGAAUCCUGGGCGCGGACAUGGCACUGCUCAUCAGACCAUGCUGAGGCAGCGUCCCACAUGCCACAACUAGAAGAACCCACAACGAAGAAUACACAACUAUGUACCGG